UGUGUGGAGGGCACGCGGGGAAGUGCCACAUCUCAGUACCCGUACGAAGCGAAACUAAGACUGAUUCCGCGAGUAGUGCCGAGCGAAACUGGAUGAGCCUAAACCGUGUGCGUGUCAAGCGUGCUGGUGUUGCGUACAUGGUGUUGUGGGGUGUGUGUGUUCGGUUCAGCAUGACCGAGACGCUGAUGAGUGCUUACGUGUAGUCGAAGCUGGUGGGAAACAGUACCGGAGUGGGUGAGAGUCC
rnacentral:rRNA from 1 species